GUGUGUGUGUGUGUGUGUGUGUGUGUGUGUGUGUGUGUGUGUGUGUGUGUGUGUGUGUGUAUGUGUGUGUGUGUGUGUGUGUGUGUGUGUGCAGCCCUUUUCAAAGUUAAUGAUUGAUGUGUAAAAUCAUUAAGGUUUGGUUAUGAAUUGAUGAAAUAUGUGAACAUUAACAGACUGCAGCGGGUCGUUUGUGAGAUAUUAAGAAUUCCUCUGUUGGAAACCUGGCAGCCUUUUGUUGACGUCAGAAUAAAAAAAAAAGAAAACAGGAAAAGGUUUUACUUUUCGCGCUGCAGAGCACGGCCUUUACCUCAGCGCCCUCCUGUCUGUGCGAGAGGCCGCUUGUACAUGUGUGAGCUGCAAUGUUGGACUUGACCUCUUGACCUUUGCUGGCCUGUGAGGUUUUGUCAAAACAAUUAAAGUUUCCAGGAA